AUUGGUGUCAUUGCUCCUUUCAUGUCUUGUUUGUUAGCAAAAACCAGGAUGAUUGCAUUAAGCAUAAAUGGAUCUCUGAUGAUGGCCUGAAAUUCUAGUUUUGCCUUUCCAAUCCUCUCUCGAUCCAAAGAGUCGACGACAUAAAUCAAUCCAUCUGUGUUAUUGAAGUAAUGUCUCCACAGUGGCCUUAAUUUCUCUUGUCCA
rnacentral:misc_RNA from 1 species